rnacentral:rRNA from 1 species
AAUCCCGGCUCGGGGAGGUAGUGACAAAAAAUAACAAUGCGGGACUCUUAUGAGGCUUCGUAAUUGGAAUGAGUACAUUCUAAAUCCUUUAACGAGGAACUAUUGGAGGGCAAGUCUGGUGCCAGCAGCCGCGGUAAUUCCAGCUCCAAUAGCGUAUAUUAAAGUUGUUGCGUCUAAAAAGCUCGUAGUUUGAAAACUUGCCUUGGCUUACAACAGACGUCUAAGGGCGUCACCGUUUGUCGAGAGCAAAUAUGGGUGACUGUUCUUGCCUUCUUCACUGAUUGGCUCGUAAAAGUCAUCGAAGAUCACUUUGAUUAAAUUAGGGUGCUCAAAGCAAGUGUGCUACUUGAAUAUGAAUGCAUGGAAUGAUGGAAUAUGUUGUUGUUCUAUUUGUUGGUUUUUGAAUGACGAAAUGAUUGAAAGGAACUGUUGGGGGCAUUCGUAUUGUUGUGAGAGAGGUGAAAUUCUUAGACCAUAGCAAGACGAACUACUGCGAAAGCAUUUGCCAAGAAUGUUUUCAUUGAUCAAGAACGAAAGUUAGAGGUUCGAAGGCGAUCAGAUACCGCCCUAGUUCUAACCAUAAACUAUGCCGACUAGCAAUUUGCUUUGUAUUUUUAUGACUAAGUGAGAGGCCACGGGAAACCAAAGUAGGGUUAUGGGGGAAGUAUGGUUGCAAAGCUGAAACUUAAAGGAAUUGACGGAAGGGCACCACCAGGAGUGGAGCCUGCGGCUUAAUUUGACAACACGGGAAAACUUACCUGGUCCUGACACUAGAAGGAUUGACAGAUUGAUAGCUCUUUCUUGAUUUGGUGGAUGGUGGUGCAUGGCCGUUCUUAGUUGGUGGAGUGAUUUGUCUGGUUAAUUCCGAUAACGAACGAGACUCUAGCCUAUUAAAUAAUAUGCGGAAUCAAUUUCUCCCGCGUUAUUUCUUAAUGGGAUCAAGCGUGUUUAACGCUUUGAAACAGAGCAAUAACAGGUCUGUGAUGCCCUUAGAUGUUCGGGGCUGCACGCGCGCUACAUUGAAGAACAAAGUGAGCCCUCUGGCUUUUAACAAAGCUAGAAAUCUUUUAAUGUUCUUCUUAAUGGGGAUAGGGGAUAGCAAUUGUGCCCCUUGAACGAGGAAUUCCCAGUAAGUGCUAGUCAUUAGCUAGUACUGAUUACGUCCCUGCCCUUUGUACACACCGCCCGUCGCUACUACCGAUUGAAUAGUUUAGUGAGAUCAUCUGAGUGUUUGUAUGUGCAUUCUGUGCUUGUAUGGUGUACGAAGAAGAUCAAACUUGAUUAUUUAGAGGAAGUAAAAGUC